GAUGCAGUCGACGAACUCUGGUAUUGAUUGGUGCUUGCAUCAUGAUUUACAUUUGAGUGAGUGGCGAACUGGUGAGUAACACGUGGGAAACCUGCCCAGAAGCGGGGGAUAACACCUGGAAACAGAUGCUAAUACCGCAUAACAACUUGGACCGCAUGGUCCGAGUUUGAAAGAUGGCUUCGGCUAUCACUUUUGGAUGGUCCCGCGGCGUAUUAGCUAGAUGGUGGGGUAACGGCUCACCAUGGCAAUGAUACGUAGCCGACCUGAGAGGGUAAUCGGCCACAUUGGGACUGAGACACGGCCCAAACUCCUACGGGAGGCAGCAGUAGGGAAUCUUCCACAAUGGACGAAAGUCUGAUGGAGCAACGCCGCGUGAGUGAAGAAGGGUUUCGGCUCGUAAAACUCUGUUGUUAAAGAAGAACAUAUCUGAGAGUAACUGUUCAGGUAUUGACGGUAUUUAACCAGAAAGCCACGGCUAACUACGUGCCAGCAGCCGCGGUAAUACGUAGGUGGCAAGCGUUGUCCGGAUUUAUUGGGCGUAAAGCGAGCGCAGGCGGUUUUUUAAGUCUGAUGUGAAAGCCUUCGGCUCAACCGAAGAAGUGCAUCGGAAACUGGGAAACUUGAGUGCAGAAGAGGACAGUGGAACUCCAUGUGUAGCGGUGAAAUGCGUAGAUAUAUGGAAGAACACCAGUGGCGAAGGCGGCUGUCUGGUCUGUAACUGACGCUGAGGCUCGAAAGUAUGGGUAGCAAACAGGAUUAGAUACCCUGGUAGUCCAUACCGUAAACGAUGAAUGCUAAG
rnacentral:rRNA from 1 species